UAGACAUAUUCUUGGACCUCUCACAU
rnacentral:piRNA from 1 species